AGGAUGAGCCCGCGGCCUAUCAGCCUGUUGGUGGGGUAAUGGCCCACCAAGGCGACGACGGGUUUCCGGCCUGAGAGGGCGACCGGCCACACUGGGACUGAGACACGGCCCAGACUCCUACGGGAGGCAGCAGUGGGGAAUAUUGCACAAUGGGCGAAAGCCUGAUGCAGCGACGCCGCGUGAGGGAUGACGGCCUUCGGGUUGUAAACCUCUUUGGGCAGGGAAGAAGCGAAAGUGACGGUACCUGCA
rnacentral:rRNA from 1 species